UAGGCUGCAACUCGCCUACAUGAAGUCGGAAUCGCUAGUAAUCGCGGAUCAGCAUGCCGCGGUGAAUACGUUCCCGGGCCUUGUACACACCGCCCGUCACACCAUGAGAGUUUGUAACACCCAAAGCCGGUGGGGUAACCUUUUGGAGCCAGCCGUCUAAGGUGGGACAGAUGAUUGGGGUGAAGUCGUAACAAGGUACC
rnacentral:rRNA from 1 species